UGCCAGCCGCCGCGGUAAUACGGAGGGGGUUAGCGUUGUUCGGAAUUACUGGGCGUAAAGCGCACGUAGGCGGCUUGCCAAGUUGGGGGUGAAAGCCCGGGGCUCAACCCCGGAACGGCCCUCAAAACUGGCAGGCUUGAGACCGGGAGAGGAGAGUGGAAUUCCCAGUGUAGAGGUGAAAUUCGUAGAUAUUGGGAAGAACACCAGUGGCGAAGGCGGCUCUCUGGACCGAUACUGACGCUGAGACGCGAAAGCGUGGGGAGCAAACAGGAUUAGAUA
rnacentral:rRNA from 1 species